rnacentral:tRNA from 1 species
GCUCCCAUGGCGUAGUGGUCACUGCACUCGCCUAGCACGCGGGAGACCGGGGUUCGAUUCCCGGCGGGGUCA